rnacentral:rRNA from 1 species
UACGUAGGUGGCAAGCGUUGUCCGGAAUUAUUGGGCGUAAAGCGCGCGCAGGCGGUCUUUUUAAGUCUGAUGUGAAAAGCCCCCCGGCUCAACCGGGGAGGGUCAUUGGAAACUGGGAGACUUGAGUGCAGAAGAGAAGAGUGGAAUUCCACGUGUAGCGGUGAAAUGCGUAGAGAUGUGGAGGAACACCAGUGGCGAAGGCGACUCUUUGGUCUGUAACUGACGCUGAGGCGCGAAAGCGUGGGGAGCAAACAGG